rnacentral:rRNA from 1 species
AUUGAACGCUGGCGGCAGGCCUAACACAUGCAAGUCGAACGGUAACAGGGAGCAGCUUGCUGCUCUGCUGACGAGUGGCGGACGGGUGAGUAAUGUCUGGGAAACUGCCUGAUGGAGGGGGAUAACUACUGGAAACGGUAGCUAAUACCGCAUAACGUCUACGGACCAAAGUGGGGGACCUUCGGGCCUCAUGCCAUCAGAUGUGCCCAGAUGGGAUUAGCUAGUAGGUGGGGUAACGGC